GCAAGUCGAACGAGGUGUGUGGAAGGUAACGGAAGCACACUUAGUGGCGAACGGGUGAGGAAUAGAUAGGUAACGUACCCUGGACACAGGAAUAGCGGCGUCCCGACUUGUCGGGACUUUGCGAAAGUGCCGGUAAUACCUGAUGACAUCACUGGACCGCAUGGUCCGGUGAUCAAAGGUCCGCAGGUCUGGGAGCGGCCUAUCUCCUAUCAGCUUGUUGGUGGGGUAACGGCCUACCAAGGCUUCGACAGGUACCAGGCGUGAGAGCGCGAUCUGGCACAUCGGGACUGAGACACUGCCCGGACAUCUACGGAUGGCUGCAGCAACGAAUAUUCCGCAAUGGGCGCAAGCCUGACGGAGCGACGCCGCGUGUAGGAUGAAGCACUUCGGUGUGUAAACUACUGUCAGGGGUUAGGAAGAAAGUGACCAACCCCAAAGGAAGCCUCGGCUAACUCCGUGCCAGCAGCCGCGGUAAUACGGAGGAGGCAAGCGUUGUUCGGAAUUACUGGGCUUAAAGCGUGCGUAGGCGGGAUGGCAGGUGUCGUGUGAAAGCCCUCGGCUCAACCGAGGAAUUGUUCGGCAAACCGUCAUUCUUGAGGCCAGCAGGGGGACCUGGA
rnacentral:rRNA from 1 species